GCCCGGAUGGCGGAAUCGGUAGACGCGCUGGUCUCAAACACCAGUAGGUUCACCCCUGUGCCGGUUCGACCCCGGCUCCGGGUACGA
rnacentral:tRNA from 1 species